GACGAACGCUGGCGGCGUGCCUAAUACAUGCAAGUCGAACGCAUUUUCUUUCACCGUAGCUUGCUACACCGAAAGAAAAUGAGUGGCGAACGGGUGAGUAACACGUGGGUAACCUGCCCAUCAGCGGGGGAUAACACUUGGAAACAGGUGCUAAUACCGCAUAAUUCCAUUUACCGCAUGGGAGAUAGAUGAAAGGCGCUUUUGCGUCACUGAUGGAUGGACCCGCGGUGCAUUAGCUAGUUGGUGGGGUAACGGCCUACCAAGGCUGCGAUGCAUAGCCGACCUGAGAGGGGGAUCGGCCACACUGGGACUGAGACACGGCCCAGACUCCUACGGGAGGCAGCAGUAGGGAAUCUUCAGCAAUGGACGCAAGUCUGACCGAGCAACGCCGCGUGAGUGAAGAAGGUUGUCGGAUCGUAAAACUCUGUUGUUAGAGAAGAACAAGGAUGAGAGUGGAAAGUUAAUCCCUUGACGGUAGCUAACCAGAAAGCCACGGCUAACUACGUG
rnacentral:rRNA from 1 species